AUUGAACGCUGGCGGCAUGCCUUACACAUGCAAGUCGAACGGUAACAGGUCUUCGGAUGCUGACGAGUGGCGAACGGGUGAGUAAUACAUCGGAACGUGCCCGAUCGUGGGGGAUAACGAGGCGAAAGCUUUGCUAAUACCGCAUACGAUCUACGGAUGAAAGCGGGGGAUCUUCGGACCUCGCGCGGACGGAGCGGCCGAUGGCAGAUUAGGUAGUUGGUGGGAUAAAAGCUUACCAAGCCGACGAUCUGUAGCUGGUCUGAGAGGAUGAUCAGCCACACUGGGACUGAGACACGGCCCAGACUCCUACGGGAGGCAGCAGUGGGGAAUUUUGGACAAUGGGCGAAAGCCUGAUCCAGCCAUGCCGCGUGCAGGAUGAAGGCCUUUGGGUUGUAAACUGCUUUUGUACGGAACGAAAAGCCUCUUUCUAAUAAAGAGGGGUCACGACGGUACCGUAAGAAUAAGCACCGGCUAACUACGU
rnacentral:rRNA from 1 species